GACGAACGCUCCUUGGCGUGCUUAACACAUGCAAGUCGAACGGAAAGGCCCUGCUUUUGUGGGGUGCUCGAGUGGCGAACGGGUGAGUAACACGUGAGUAACCUGCCCUUGACUUUGGGAUAACUUCAGGAAACUGGGGCUAAUACCGGAUAGGAGCUCCUGCUGCAUGGUGGGGGUUGGAAAGUUUCGGCGGUUGGGGAUGGACUCGCGGCUUAUCAGCUUGUUGGUGGGGUAGUGGCUUACCAAGGCUUUGACGGGUAGCCGGCCUGAGAGGGUGACCGGCCACAUUGGGACUGAGGUACGGCCCAGACUCCUACGGGAGGCAGCAGUGGGGAAUAUUGCACAAUGGGCGGAAGCCUGAUGCAGCAACGCCGCGUGCGGGAUGACGGCCUUCGGGUUGUAAACCGCUUUCGCCUGUGACGAAGCGUGAGUGACGGUAAUGGGUAAAGAAGCACCGGCUAACUACGUGCCAGCAGCCGCGGUGAUACGUAGGGUGCGAGCGUUGUCCGGAUUUAUUGGGCGUAAAGGGCUCGUAGGUGGUUGAUCGCGUCGGAAGUGUAAUCUUGGGGCUUAACCCUGAGCGUGCUUUCGAUACGGGUUGACUUGAGGAAGGUAGGGGAGAAUGGAAUUCCUGGUGGAGCGGUGGAAUGCGCAGAUAUCAGGAGGAACACCAGUGGCGAAGGCGGUUCUCUGGGCCUUUCCUGACGCUGAGGAGCGAAAGCGUGGGGAGCGAACAGGCUUAGAUACCCUGGUAGUCCACGCUGUAAACGGUGGGUACUAGGUGUGGGGUCCAUUCCACGGGUUCCGUGCCGUAGCUAACGCUUUAAGUACCCCGCCUGGGGAGUACGGCCGCAAGGCUAAAACUCAAAGGAAUUGACGGGGCCCCGCACAAGCGGCGGAGCAUGCGGAUUAAUUCGAUGCAACGCGUAGAACCUUACCUGGGUUUGACAUGGAUCGGGAGUGCUCAGAGAUGGGUGUGCCUCUUUUGGGGUCGGUUCACAGGUGGUGCAUGGCUGUCGUCAGCUCGUGUCGUGAGAUGUUGGGUUAAGUCCCGCAACGAGCGCAACCCUUGUUCACUGUUGCCAGCACGUUAUGGUGGGGACUCAGUGGAGACCGCCGGGGUCAACUCGGAGGAAGGUGGGGAUGACGUCAAGUCAUCAUGCCCCUUAUGUCCAGGGCUUCACGCAUGCUACAAUGGCUGGUACAGAGAGUGGCGAGCCUGUGAGGGUGAGCGAAUCUCGGAAAGCCGGUCUCAGUUCGGAUUGGGGUCUGCAACUCGACCUCAUGAAGUCGGAGUCGCUAGUAAUCGCAGAUCAGCAACGCUGCGGUGAAUACGUUCCCGGGGCU
rnacentral:rRNA from 1 species